AACAGCACCACUGGAGUUCAUCUCACAUUCCUUCUCAAUCCCGGAGCUCCAGUUCCUAUUCCACAAUGUUCUUCCAGAUCUCACAGGAAAACUGGUGGUGGAUGUGGGAUCUAGACUUGGAGCUGUGCUAUUUGGGGGCUACCUGUACAGUGAAGCAUCUCAGCUUGUGGGGGUUGAAAUAAGCUCAGAGUUGGUCAAGCUUCAAACAAUGGCUGUAGAGAAAUAUGGCUUCAGUGACAGAAUUCAGUUAAUCAAUCAAACCAUUUCUUUGUCCUAUGAUAAUUGUUUUGUCUGGA